rnacentral:ribozyme from 2 species
AUAAUAACUUCGCCUGCAUCUAUUCUAGAGUUACUGCCGGUCCCAAGCCCGGGUGAAGGAGGAGGGUUGA